AAUAGAUACCCCGGUAGUCCACGCCCUAAACGAUGUCUACUAGUUGUCGGGGGGUAACUCCUUCGGUAACGCAGCUAACGCGUGAAGUAGACCGCCUGGGGAGUACGGUCGCAAGAUUAAAACUCAAAGGAAUUGACGGGGACCCGCACAAGCGGUGGAUGAUGUGGAUUAAUUCGAUGCAACGCGAAAAACCUUACCUACCCUUGACAUGCCACUAACGAAGCAGAGAUGCAUUAGGUGCCCGAAAGGGAAAGUGGACACAGGUGCUGCAUGGCUGUCGUCAGCUCGUGUCGUGAGAUGUUGGGUUAAGUCCCGCAACGAGCGCAACCCUUGCCAAUAGUUGCUACGAAAGGGCACUCUAUUGGGACUGCCGGUGACAAACCGGAGGAAGGUGGGGAUGACGUCAAGUCCUCAUGGCCCUUAUGGGUAGGGCUUCACACGUCAUACAAUGGCUGGUACAGAGGGUUGCCAACCCGGCGAGGGGGGAGCCAAUCCCACAAAACCAGUCGUAGUCCGGAUUGCAGUCUGCAACUCGACUGCA
rnacentral:rRNA from 1 species